rnacentral:rRNA from 1 species
UAUAAAGUGGCGAACGGCUGAGUAACACGUGGGCAACCUGCCCUUUGCACUGGGAUAGCCUCGGGAAACCGAGGUUAAUACCGGAUACUCCAUAUUUGUCGCAUGGCGAAUAUGGGAAAGCUCCGGCGGCAAAGGAUGGGCCCGCGGCCUGUUAGCUAGUUGGUGGGGUAGUGGCCUACCAAGGCAAUGAUGGGUAGCCGGGUUGAGAGACCGACCGGCCAGAUUGGGACUGAGACACGGCCCAGACUCCUACGGGAGGCAGCAGCU